rnacentral:tRNA from 1 species
ACCUGGGUGGCUCAGUCAGUUAAGCAUCUGACUUGGGCUCAGGUCAUGAUCUCAUGGUUCAGGAGUUCGAGUCCUUCCUCAGGUG